GAUUCGUUAAAGCUCGGGGGUGAUUCUAGGCACUUGCAAGGUGCCUGACCGUAUAGGGCAUCACAAAUUAAGGAUCUCAUAUAGUAGUCUUCAAUAGCUUCAUUUUAGUUUAAUUAUAUGUGAAUUCCUCACAUGAUCAUCUUAUAGGCCUUUUUUGUGGAUGCACUCACAGACAGGGGCAGAUACAAUAUGAAGUCAGUGAGAGCAGUUGACAUUGCUUAAAUCUAAAAUAUAAUAAAAUAAUAUAAAUAAAGGAAAUAAUCAAUGGUAUUCCUAAAUUUUUGUACUUUAUCAAUGGUACUCCUAAGUUUUUUCGAUUAUCAAUAUUAUCCUUGUGUUAUUAAGCGUCUUACAACUUUUUUAAUUUUUUCCGUCAAAAAUCGUCCAAAAUCGCCAACUUUUUUUCUUUUUCUUUAAUUUUUUUAAAUUUUUUAAAUUGAAAUAAAAAAAAAGAAAUCAAGUUAACGAUUUAGAUGAUACUCGAAAAAACAUAAAAAUAUCAUUAGUAAAGUGCAAAACCUUGAGGUACCAUUAAUAAUUUUUCAAUAAAUAAAAUUAUUCUAGAUGAGUUGAUAAGUGUUAUAAUUUCCCACAGCAAAUACUGAGUUCAAAAUCUACUAUGUGAGUUUCAUAUAAUUUUUUCUCUUUCCCACCCUAUCAAUUCCCAAAGAAACCGUCAUUGAUUAUCGGCAUACGACAUUCAUUCCAAUCAGUCAAUCGCGAAACCCUCAUUGAUAAUCGACAUACUGCUGCUGUCUCAUGUCGGCACCGCGCUACCACCAUUGUCUUGCUGCACUGCCGAAUGCCGUCUGCGCCGCAGCCACCAGCCGCACCGCCUUCUAUCGUCUGCCGUACCAGCCACCAUCAUUCUCUUAUUCUUUAAGAGUAGGAGCAGUAAAAAGGGCAGACAACAGAAUUCAAGGAGUCACUGUAAGAACCUCUGAAAUAAUUGGUCUUGAUGGAAAUAUGUUGACCUGAAUAGCUCUAUGGAGUAAUUCACUGGAGUAGGAAGGAUCAGAAUCCUUGAAAACUAUUGAAGCUGAAGCUAAUGCAGCUGCUGUUUCUGCUGCUACUUCAGAUCCU